GGCGCAGCAGGCGAGAAAACUUUGCAAUGUGCGAAAGCACGACAAGGUUAAUCCGAGUGGUUUCUGCUAAAGGAACCUUUUGUCGGUCCUAGAAACACCGAUGAAUAAGGGGUGGGCAAGUUCUGGUGUCAGCCGCCGCGGUAAAACCAGCACCUCAAGUGGUCAGGAUGAUUAUUGGGCCUAAAGCAUCCGUAGCCGGCUCUGUAAGUUUUCGGUUAAAUCUGUACGCUCAACGUACAGGCUGCCGGGAAUACUGCAGAGCUAGGGAGUGGGAGAGGUAGACGGUACUCGGUAGGAAGGGGUAAAAUCCUUUGAUCUAUUGAUGACCACCUGUGGCGAAGGCGGUCUACCAGAACACGUCCGACGGUGAGGGAUGAAAGCUGGGGGAGCAAACCGGAUUAGAUACCCGGGUAGUCCCAGCUGUAAACUAUGCAAACUCAGUGAUGCAUUGACUUGUGGUCAAUGCAGUGCUGCAGGGAAGCCGUUAAGUUUGCCGCCUGGGAAGUACGUACGCAAGUAUGAAACUUAAAGGAAUUGGCGGGGGAGCACCACAAGGGGUGAAGCCUGCGGUUCAAUUGGAGUCAACGCCAGAAAUCUUACCCGGAGAGACAGCAGAAUGAAGGUCAAGCUGAAGACUUUACCAGACAAGCUGAGAGGUGGUGCAUGGCCGUCGCCAGCUCGUGCCGUGAGAUGUCCUGUUAAGUCAGGUAACGAGCGAGAUCCCUGCCUCUAGUUGCCACCAUUACUCUCAGGAGUAGUGGGGCGAAUUAGCGGGACCGCCGCAGUUAAUGCGGAGGAAGGAAGGGGCCACGGCAGGUCAGUAUGCCCCGAAACUCUGGGGCCACACGCGGGCUGCAAUGGUAACGACAAUGGGUUUCAAAUCCGAAAGGAUGAGGUAAUCCUCAAACGUUACCACAGUUAUGACUGAGGGCUGCAACUCGCCCUCACGAAUAUGGAAUCCCUAGUAACUGCGUGUCAUUAUCGCGCGGUGAAUACGUCCCUGCUCCUUGCACACACCGCCCGUCGUUUCAUUGAAGUGAGCUCUUAGCGAGGUGACGUCUGAUUGGCGUUAUCGAACUUGGGGUUCGUGACAAGGGAAAAGUCGUAACAAGGUA
rnacentral:rRNA from 1 species